GACGAACGCUGGCGGCGUGCCUAAUACAUGCAAGUUGAGCGCUGAAGGUUGGUACUUGUACCAACUGGAUGAGCAGCGAACGGGUGAGUAACGCGUGGGGAAUCUGCCUUUGAGCGGGGGACAACAUUUGGAAACGAAUGCUAAUACCGCAUAAAAACUUUAAACACAAGUUUUAAGUUUGAAAGAUGCAAUUGCAUCACUCAAAGAUGAUCCCGCGUUGUAUUAGCUAGUUGGUGAGGUAAAGGCUCACCAAGGCGAUGAUACAUAGCCGACCUGAGAGGGUGAUCCGCCACAUUGGGACUGAGACACGGCCCAAACCCCUACGGGAGGCAGCAGUAGGGAAUCUUCGGCAAUGGACGAAAGUCUGACCGAGCAACGCCGCGUGAGGGAAGAAGGGUUUCGGAUCGUAAAACUCUGUUGGUAGAGAAGAACGUUGGUGAGAGUGGAAAGCUCAUCAAGUGACGGUAACUACCCAGAAAGGGACGGCUAACUACGUG
rnacentral:rRNA from 1 species